rnacentral:rRNA from 1 species
CGUGAGGGAGGAGGCUCUUGGGUUGUAAACCUCUUUUAUCAGGGAAGAAGAUCUGACGGUACCUGAUGAAUCAGCAUCGGCUAACUCCGUGCCAGCAGCCGCGGUAAUACGGAGGAUGCAAGCGUUAUCCGGAUUUAUUGGGCGUAAAGCGUCCGCAGGUGGUUUUUCAAGUCUGCUGUUAAAGCGCAGAGCUUAACUCUGUAACGGCGGUGGAAACUGAGAGACUAGAGUAUGGUAGGGGUAGCGGGAAUUCCCAGUGUAGCGGUGAAAUGCGUAGAUAUUGGGAAGAACACCAGCGGCGAAAGCGCGCUACUGGGCCAUAACUGACACUCAUGGACGAAAGCUAGGGGAGCGAAAGGGAUUAGAUACCCACUGUAAACGAUGGGUACUAGGUGUU